AGAGUUUGAUCCUGGCUCAGAGUGAACGCUGGCGGUAGGCCUAACACAUGCAAGUCGAACGGCAGCACAGGAGAGCUUGCUCUCUGGGUGGCGAGUGGCGGACGGGUGAGGAAUACAUCGGAAUCUACUCUGUCGUGGGGGAUAACGUAGGGAAACUUACGCUAAUACCGCAUACGACCUACGGGUGAAAGCAGGGGACCUUCGGGCCUUGCGCGAUUGAAUGAGCCGAUGUCGGAUUAGCUAGUUGGCGGGGUAAAGGCCCACCAAGGCGACGAUCCGUAGCUGGUCUGAGAGGAUGAUCAGCCACACUGGAACUGAGACACGGUCCAGACUCCUACGGGAGGCAGCAGUGGGGAAUAUUGGACAAUGGGCGCAAGCCUGAUCCAGCCAUACCGCGUGGGUGAAGAAGGCCUUCGGGUUGUAAAGCCCUUUUGUUGGGAAAGAAAUCCAGCUGGCUAAUACCCGGUUGGGAUGACGGUACCCAAAGAAUAAGCACCGGCUAACUUCGUG
rnacentral:rRNA from 1 species